rnacentral:lncRNA from 1 species
AGAGACCUUUCGAUUUUAGGACGGCAACGCGACGACGACGGCCAAAACAAACUUCUUCAAAUAAAUGGUAGCAAAUAUAAUUCGUCGUAUAUUAUCAAUCGUGUGAAUUUAAUACAGUCUUAGAAGUUGAAGACAUGGGUUUUAUGUUUGGGAAGAGUUCUGCUGAAACCAGUGUGAAGGUGCACUUGUUGCGGCUUGAAAUGCAGCCGUUGUAUCAGGACGUGAAAAUAUGUGAUUUGGCGUUGUAAACAGAGCGAGGACAAUGUCUAAAUUAUUCAUGUAUUGUAAUUAUUCAAUUCUUUUCAAUGGUUUAUUGUAU